rnacentral:ncRNA from 1 species
AAUUAAAUAACGUCGUCGUAUAAGGUCGAGAAUAUGGCUCGAAAGUUUCUACCAAAUCACCGUAAAUGAUUUGACUACGAUUGAAGAAGU